AUCCAGCUGACGAGUCCCAAAUAGAACGAAACACGUGUCCUGGAU
rnacentral:hammerhead_ribozyme from 1 species